rnacentral:rRNA from 1 species
GACGAACGCUGGCGGCGUGCUUAACACAUGCAAGUCGAACGGAAAGGCCUGCUUUCCCUUGUGGAUUGCGGGUACUCGAGUGGCGAACGGGUGAGUAACACGUGAGUGAUCUGCCCCCAACUUGGGUAUAAGCCUGGGAAACUGGGUCUAAUUCCCGAUAGGACUGCAGGGUGGUGCCUGUGGUGGAAAACGAUUUUCUAGUGGUUGGGGAUGAGCUCGCGGCCUAUCAGCUUGUUGGUGGGGUAAUGGCCUACCAAGGCGGCGACGGGUAGCCGGCCUGAGAGGGUGGACGGCCACAUUGGGACUGAGAUACGGCCCAGACUCCGACGGGAGGCAGCAGUGGGGAAUAUGGCACAAUGGGCGGAGGCCUGAGGCAGCGACGCCGCGGGGGGGAUGACGGCCUUCGGGUGGUAAACUCCUUUCGACCGCGAGGAAGCCACCUGGUUGGAAGGGUGGUGACGGUAGUGGGAGAAGAAGCACCGGCUAACUACGUG